CCAGAAGAGACCCUAACCGGUCCUCUCAACCCUGCCCAUCGUACCCUUUUUGUUGUUCCCUCGGCAAGACUUUUCAAGCCCACCGACGAGAAGAUCAACGAAACUCUUUGCAAGCAAGCAUCCUGAAACCUCAGAUCGAAUACAAAUUGUCA
rnacentral:misc_RNA from 1 species